rnacentral:rRNA from 1 species
UACGAAGGGGGCGAGCGUUGUUCGGAAUUACUGGGCGUAAAGGGCGCGUAGGCGGCCGAUCAAGUCAGAUGUGAAAGUCCUGGGCUUAACCUGGGGACUGCAUUUGAUACUGAUUGGCUUGAAUUCGGGAGAGGAUAGCGGAAUUCCCAGUGUAGAGGUGAAAUGCGUAGAGAUGUGGAGGAACACCGAUGGCGAAGGCAGCCCCCUGGGCCGACACUGACGCUCAGGCACGAAAGCGUGGGGAGCAAACAGG